GGGCCCGCACAAGCAGCGGAGCAUGUGGUUUAAUUCGAAGCAACGCGAAGAACCUUACCAGGUCUUGACAUUGAGACAAAGCGGUAGAGAUACCGUGUCCAGCAAUGGAGUCGAAAACAGGUGGUGCAUGGUUGUCGUCAGCUCGUGUCGUGAGAUGUUGGGUUAAGUCCCGCAACGAGCGCAACCCUUAUGAUCAGUUACUAACGGGUAAAGCCGAGGACUCUGAUGAGACCGCCGGGGACAACUCGGAGGAAGGUGGGGACGACGUCAAAUCAUCAUGCCCCUUAUGACCUGGGCUACACACGUGCUACAAUGGUGGUAACAAAGAGGUGCGAACUCGUAAGAGCAAGCGAAUCUCAAAAAAGCCAUCUCAGUUCGGAUUGUGGGCUGCAACCCGCCCACAUGAAGUCGGAGUUGCUAGUAAUCGCGGAUCAGCAUGCCGCGGUGAAUACGUUCCCGGGCCUU
rnacentral:rRNA from 1 species